UGUUUUGAAAAGAUCUCUCUUCUUAGCCAACUAUUGCGAUCUUAUUAUUCAGGCUACCCUUGUCUCCUCCUUAAGAAGCUUAGAUAGAUCUUCCAAUAACAGUUGAAAUUGUCUUCCUCAUUUAUUGCUUGCCUUUCAGAAAUGGAAAGCACAAGAUUUCCUUAGAAAACCAGGCCUUUUCCUCCACGCUGCACCCCGCUCCAGCCCUACCCUUGAAGACAACAUCUUCAAGUUGCCAUAGACCAACUAUACCCACUCUGGGCCUGCGCCCUGACUCGAUCCGACCCAGUCGUGAUAACCUCUUGCUAUGUCCACUGUUGAUGCUGUGACCUAAAUGUCACCUACAAUAGUCCAUUUGCUGGUAAGUUGGAAAUUGAAAAGAAAUCUCUUUCUUUCCCUGGCAGCUAAAGCUAUAACAUGUAUAACCUGGGAAUUGCCAGUGACCACGUGAAAUGUGCAGCACAAAGAGUGUGUUAAUGACAUAGAAAGAACCAAAGGAAAUAAAUGAAUAAAAUAUCACAG
rnacentral:lncRNA from 1 species